UCGGACAUGGUGUACGGUGCACCGCCUCCUCAACUGUUGAUUGCGCGUUCCGAAGUUAUUAAGCAGAGGCUGCCCGGGGUUCGACUCCCCGUGUCCGAA